rnacentral:rRNA from 1 species
CCUACGGGCGGCAGCAGUGAGGAAUAUUGGUCAAUGGACGAGAGUCUGAACCAGCCAAGUAGCGUGAAGGAUGACUGCCCUAUGGGUUGUAAACUUCUUUUAUAUGGGAAUAAAACGUUCCACGUGUGGGAUUUUGUAUGUACCAUAUGAAUAAGGAUCGGCUAACUCCGUGCCAGCAGCCGCGGUAAUACGGAGGAUCCGAGCGUUAUCCGGAUUUAUUGGGUUUAAAGGGAGCGUAGGUGGAUUGUUAAGUCAGUUGUGAAAGUUUGCGGCCCGACCGUAAAAUUGCAGUUGAAACUGGCAGUCUUGAGUACAGUAGAGGUAGGCGGAAUUCGUGGUGUAGCGGUGAAAUGCUUAGAUAUCACGAAGAACUCCGAUUGCGAAGGCAGUUCACUGGACUGCAACUGACACUGAGGCUCGAAAGUGUGGGUAUCAAACAGGAUUAGAUACCCGAGUAGUC